GGGUUUGUAGCUCAGCUGGUUAGAGCACACGCUUGAUGAGCUGGGUCGAGGUUCAAGUCCUCCUAGACCACCA
rnacentral:tRNA from 1 species